AACGCACCUUGCGCUCCGUGGUAUUCCGCGGAGCAUGCCUGUUUGAGUGUCGCGCCCCCCUCUCAACCCCGUUGGCGUUAUGCGCUCGACGCGGGCUUGGAUCCUGGCCGGUUCGCCUUUGUAAGGCGACGGCCGAAAGACCUUGCGCCUCUGGCGGCACGCGGUCUGACCGGAACGUUGUACGCACCUCGUUCUCGGGACGCAUGCCCUGUUGGGCUGCGAAUCGCGCACUCUAGUGACCUCGACCUCAAAUCAGGCAGGACGACCCGCUGAACUUAA
rnacentral:misc_RNA from 1 species